rnacentral:tRNA from 1 species
GGAGAUNUAGCUCAGGGGUAGAGCGCUUACUUAGCAAGUAUAAUGCCCUGGGUUCAACCCAGCACCG